GUAUUGUAUUGCGUUAAACGCGAUGCGCAUUCCAUGAGACUUCGUUACGGUGUGUGUGUAAAGACGCAGAACCACGGCAAGGGGACGGAGUCGCCCAGGCCACAGAACCACAGAGGGUGCACAGGUGUGAGUGGAUGUGUAAACAGAGCGUGCACAUGCCCCCAUUUGAGGACCAGCAACAACUCGUGUUGACAAUUCGGUAAUGAUCCUUCCGCAGGUUCACCUACGGAAA
rnacentral:misc_RNA from 1 species